rnacentral:tRNA from 1 species
AAGACUUUAAGUUAUACUAAAAUAAACUAUUAACCUUCAAAGUUAAAAAAAUUUGUUAAGUUUUA